UUUCUCCCUCCCCUAUCAAACCCAGCCAGGGUGAUAUAAGACUGGAAACAGAUCACGGAAACAAGCAGGAAGAAGAAAAAGAGAAAUGUACAGAAUUUAAAAGGGGAAGCAGGAGGGAAAGCAGAAUUCCAAAACGGUCUCAAUGUGUCAUGAUCCUCUUGCCUCAGUCUCUCAAGUAGCUGGGUACCACUGCCUCCUAAGCAGAAAUUUAAAAAUUCAGUGAAAGGGCUGAAACCUCCCAAAGAGUAGAACAGACAACUUUCUGGAGAUCAAAAACAUCAACAUUGUAAUCCAGGACUUUCUGGUGUUGGAGGCUGUGCACAAAUAGGAAUUCCCGUGACCACGUCGAAACGGUCUAGUAAUCAAUCGGGCAUCUUUUACAAGACCAAACCCUUCCCCCAUCCCGUUCCCUCCUAUCUCCGUCCCUAACCCAAACACACGUAGGAAGACCCUCUAGACCGAUUUCCACCAAUCCUGCAGCGCGUGAACUGGGAGAAAGAAAUAAUA